rnacentral:sRNA from 1 species
CCGCAGCAGGGAUAGUAGCGGAUAUCCUUUUUUGGACACGGAGCGAAGCGGAGUGUCCGAAAAAGAUAGGAGUGGAUAGCCCGGCCGGCA